rnacentral:rRNA from 1 species
GACGAACGCUGGCGGCGUGCUCAACACAUGCAAGUCGAACGAUGAAGCUGGAGCUUGCUCCGGUGGAUUAGUGGCGAACGGGUGAGUAACACGUGAGCAAUCUGCCCUUGACUCUGGGAUAACUGCGGGAAACUGUAGCUAAUACCGGAUACGAGAUUUGGAGGCAUCUCCGGAUCCGGAAAGAAUUUCGGUCAAGGAUGAGCUCGCGGCCUAUAAGCUUGUUGGUGAGGUAAUGGCUCACCAAGGCGACGACGGGGAGCCGGCCUGAGAGGGUGACCGGCCACACUGGGACUGGGACACGGCCCAGACUCCUACGGGAGGCAGCAGUGGGGAAUAUUGCACAAUGGGCGAAAGCCUGAUGCAGCAACGCCGCGUGAGGGAUGAAGGCCUUCGGGUUGUAAACCUCUUUUAGUAGGGAAGAAGCGAAAGUGACGGUACCUACAGAAAAAGCACCGGCUAACUACGUGCCAGCCGCCGCAGUAA